rnacentral:misc_RNA from 1 species
UCAACGUGCAUGAGUAGCAUUGGAUACGUGUCUGCCGGUAGAUCCCCCGUUGUAGUUCGGCCGACUACCGGCGCCGUGUCCCGUCACUCUUGUGGCAUUGUCCCGAUGGAUUGAACUUGUGGCUUGCGUGCUAGUACCCGACCUAAGGGAAGUGGUGCUUCGGAUAAUUGUUGCCUCACGGUGGACGCCCUUUGGGUGUGCCAUCGUGACCGAAUAGCGCUUGCGGCGUUGCCUCGUACGACAGCCAUAUAAUGUGCAUGUUGAUAUCACGGCAACCUCGCUCUCGCUUUUGGUCUAGGAUGCUGCUCACGAUAAAGGCUCGAGGCCCUUCGGGUUGCCUCGAUCCGAAACAAUGUUCUCUCUCCGAAAUGGCGAUUACCGUGUUCAUGUCUUGCCUCUACCUCUCCACAUUUACGUGGUAGGAUACGCAACCCUAUGGAUACGGCCCUCAUGGAGGAGGAGACAUGCUUUCUCUAAAGUGGGGACAACCGUGCUCAUGUCUUGCCUCUACCUAGCCACAAUAAGUGGUAGGAUACGCAACCUAUGGGGCGAUCCACAUGUAGGACAAGGCAUGCUCUGUCUGAAAUGGCGAUUACCGUGUUCAUGUCUUGCUCGAUCUCUCCACAGUUAAUUUCUGUGGUAGGAUAAGCAACCCUAUGGAUACGGCCCUCAUGGAUGAUGAGACAUUCACAAUGCUCUCUCCGAAAUGGCGAUAACCGGGUACAUGUCUUGCCUCUACCUCUCCACAUUUACGUGGUAGGAUAUGCAACCCUAUGAUCCGGCCCUCAUGGAGGAUGAGACAUGCCCGCUCAAAAGCGACAACUGGCUCGGCUGUUGCGUUUGUCUUUCCACGCAAGUGGAAUUGCAGGGUAACUACCGACGCUGGACGUCAUCGAGGACGUGCU